rnacentral:rRNA from 1 species
UCUAAGCACGAAACUUGCCCCGAGAUGAGUUCUCCCUGACCCUUUAAGGGUCCUGAAGGAACGUUGAAGACGACGACGUUGAUAGGCCGGGUGUGUAAGCGCAGCGAUGCGUUGAGCUAACCGGUACUAAUGAACCGUGAGGCUUAACCUUACAACGCCGAAGGUGUUU